rnacentral:rRNA from 1 species
AUUGAACGCUGGCGGCAGGCUUAACACAUGCAAGUCGAACGAGUGGCGGACGGGUGAGUAAUGUUUGGGAAUCUGGCCAAUGGAGGGGGCUAACUACUGGAAACAGUAGCUAAUACCGCGUACUAUAUGAUGAGCCCAAGUGGGAUUAGGUAGUUGGUGAGGUAAAGGCUCACCAAGCCAACGAUCCCUAGCUGGUCUGAGAGGAUGACCAGCCACACUGGGACUGAGACACGGCCCAGACUCCUACGGGAGGCAGCAGUGGGGAAUAUUGCGCAAUGGGGGCAACCUGACGCAGCCAUGCCGCGUGAAUGAAGAAGGCCUUCGGGUUGUAAAGUUCUUUCGGUAGCGAGGCGUUAACUACAGAAGAAGCACCGGCUAACUACGUGCCAGCAGCCGCGGUAAUUC